rnacentral:rRNA from 1 species
AUUCCAGCUCCAAUAGCGUAUAUUAAAGUUGUUGCAGUUAAAAAGCUCGUAGUCGGAUUUUGGCAUCACGCCGAACUGUCUGCCGAUUGGUAAGUACGGUUUGGCGGGUGCUUCCUUCCGGAGGCUCGUUCCCUUCUUCAUUGAAGGGUUCGUUGGUUCCGGGUCUUUUACUUUGAGAAAAUUAGAGUGUUCAAAGCAGGCCUAUGCUCUGAAUAGGUUAGCAUGGAAUAAUAGAAUAGGACUUUGGUUCUAUUUUGUUGGUUUCUAGGACCGAAGUAAUGAUUAAUAGGGACAGUUGGGGGCAUUAGUAUUUAAUUGUCAGAGGUGAAAUUCUUGGAUUUAUGAAAGACUAACUACUGCGAAAGCAUUUGCCAAGGAUGUUCUCAUUG